GACGAACCGUGCGAACGUUAUUCGGAAUCACUGGGCUUAAAGCGCGUGUAGGCGGGAGGGCACGUCGGUCGUUGAAAUCCCCCGGCUCAACCGGGGAAGUGGCGCCGAUACGACCUUCCUGGAGGGACGUAGGGGGACCUGGAACUUCCGGUGGAGCGGUGAAAUGCGUUGAGAUCGGAAGGAACGCCCGUGGCGAAAGCGAGGUCCUGGACGUUUUCUGACGCUGAGACGCGAAAGCCAGGGGAGCAAACGGGG
rnacentral:rRNA from 1 species